GGUGGCCCCGAGGGAACAAUCGCGGCCGAGUUCCCCGGCCCGUCACUCUGGCACGCAGCCUUUUUUUUUUGACUCCGCCUGUGGUAGCCAUUGUUUUCCCUGAGUAGACCGGAGUGACGAGGUCUGUGAGACUCUUCACAGCACAGUGACGUGGGAGCCCGGGAGACGGGGAUGGGCUCGGGGGAAGGGUGCGGGGGCAGCCUCCACCCGGAAGGGGGCGCGGGACGGCGCUCCGGGGGAGUCGGCCGCCGGGCGUCGGGGCUGGGUCCCCGGCGGCCGGGCAACCCCCCGGGCGAGGGCGCCCCGCGGCGGCCUGCCAUCCCGUUUAGAGGCUUCGCGUCCUGUCGUUAGCAUUAGCACGGCAGAUGCCACCCCGACUUUACCGGACUUCUUGCGUCGGAAUAGUUAUUCAGAUUUAUGGGGAAAGUGGCAGAGCUCCUACUGAGUCGUGCGUCCUCCGCCCGCGUCCCCCCUGCGGUCCCCGCACCGAGAGCCGGACUCCGUGCGUUGAGCGCCUUUCCCGCUCCCUGUGUGCGGGUCUAACCCAGAGCACCUGUCAGACCCGAGGUGAGUGUCCCUUUUGCUUGAAGAGGCCACUGAGGUCCCUGCGGGGGGUGAGUAGCAAGACAGGAAGGUCCUGGCCAGCCAGGCCCUUGAUCCUGGGCCCCCCUUGCCUUUGGGCCCUCUGCUGUGGUUGUCCGACACCAGCUUCCCCUGAAGCCCCAGAAGUGCUUUCUUCAGAGAGCCUUGCUGUGCAGGUCAAAGUAGUGUCGCCCCCAGCAGCUGCUGAUGCACAUCCUUAGGUGCGCGUGCUGCUUUUUCUGGAAAUUGAUUCCCCAAAGCAGGAUUGCGCGGGGGGGGGGUCUACACAGUUUUGAUUUUCUCAUGUAUCAGUGGGUACGUUUUUUCAAAGGAUGUGGUUCUAACCUCUGGACUGUGUGUUGGAGUGCUCUUCCUGCAGCUCCUGGGCAGCCCAGGACAGGACCCGUUUCUAAUUUCAUACCUAGUAGUGGAGCUGCUGGUUGCUUCACGUCUCCUGUUUAUGGUGUUGGGAGUUCUGUUUCAUGAAUGUUCGUCUCAGUUACUAAUUUUGUUUUAACUUUUUUAUUCUUUUGGUACCAGGGAUUGAACUCAAGGCACUCAACCGCUGACCCACAUCCCCAGCUCUAUUUUGUAUUUUAUUUAGAGACAGGGUCUCACUGAGCUGCUUAGCACUUCACUUUUGCUGAGGCUGGCUUUGAACUUUUGAUCCUCCUGCCUCAGCUUCCUGAGCCACUGGGAUUAUAGGCUCCACCGCGCCCUGCUUCAGUUGCUAAUUUUUAAAUCGAGCUUUUUGUUGUCUAUAGAAGUUUUUGCAGAUGAUAUUCAUGUGUUGAGAAUAAUGUAUUUCUUUGCUGUAUGUAUCACACAGAGUUUCCCAGAUUAAAAACUUGUUUUUU
rnacentral:lncRNA from 1 species